rnacentral:rRNA from 1 species
UACGAAGGGGGCUAGCGUUGUUCGGAAUUACUGGGCGUAAAGGGCGCGUAGGCGGCUUCGAUAGUCGGGUGUGAAAUGCCUGGGCUCAACCCAGGAAUUGCACUCGAAACUCCGAGGCUUGAGUGUGGGAGAGGUUGGUGGAAUUCCCAGUGUAGAGGUGAAAUUCGUAGAUAUUGGGAAGAACACCGGUGGCGAAGGCGGCCCACUGGACCACAACUGACGCUGAGGCGCGAAAGCGUGGGGAGCAAACAGG